rnacentral:lncRNA from 1 species
ACUCCAUUAACCAUCCAUCAAUUAAAUAAAUCAAACCUCUUAUUCCAUUUAAGUAUACCAUAAUCUACAGCCCACACAAUGUUCUAAAAAGAAAGCCUGCGUUUGAACUUUCCGGCAGAUCGACCAAUCCCAAACCGAUUCAACAUUUAAAUACAAAACCGAAUCUCAAACAAAGAUUCAACAUAUUGGCAAAAUAAUUGGAAUCUCAAAAAAAUUCCAACAGGUUGCAAUCGAAGUAUCAGUAAAAAUAAAAAGAUAAGGACACCGAUUCGGAACUCACCGGAAAAACCGACGUGUUCCGGAUAGGUCGAAGCAGCCCGAGAAAUCAAACAAAAGAAUAUGGGUUCAGAGUUGAAGGAUGAAUACCAAAAGGUGAUUCCAUUGCCGGAGCUUAUCGAAAGUCCGAUCUAAAUUUACAUCGCCGGAUAAUAUUUUCCGGCAAGCAUCUCACCAAAAUAUACCCGGUGGAUGAGAGAGAAUCAACUUUGGAGAGAGAGGAGAAAGGGUUAGUAAUCAGUCGAUAGAUUGUUCGAUUCUU